UGCUCAGUUUGGCAGCAUAUUUACUAAAAUUAGAAAGAUACAGAGAAGAUUAGCAUGGCCCCUGUGCAGGAAUGACAUGCCAGUUUGUGAAGCAAUUCAUAUUUUU